AUGGAGGAGGCGUUGGCCGCGUCUGCAGCGGCAUCGGUGGCGGCCUCAGCUGCUGCGGAGACUGCCAAGGAGGCGGCGUUGGCGGCAUCUGCUGCUGCGAAGGAGCCGGCUGCGGCGGCGGCUGUGACUGCGACGGAGGCGGCGGUGACGGCUUCGGCCGCGGCGUCAAAUGCGAAGGAGGCAGCAUCUGUGGCGGCGACUACAGGGGCCGCCGCCGCCGCGUCGGCUGCGAUGCAAGCUUCCAAGAAGCGUAAGUUCCAUCUCCACGACGACCAAGAUACACCAGCCAGUGACAACCGCGACGAUGCUGAUGAGAGGAGCGUGGAUCACAUCAGCCGCCUCCCGGACGCCGUCCUCGGUAGCAUCGUCUCUCUUCUCGCCACCAAGGAAGGCGCCCGCACGCAGGCCAUCUCCCGCCGGUGGCGUCCGCUCUGGCGCUCCGCUCCUCUGAACCUCGUGGUGGGCCGUGAGCUCAUCAACAAGACCCACAAGCUCGUCGACCUGAUCCCAAAGAUCCUCUCCCAGCAUCGUGGCCCCACGCGCCGCUUCCUGCUCUGCUUCUGCAUCGACGACUGUUACGACAGGAUCGGGGGCUGGCUUAGCUCCCAGGCCCUGGACAGCCUACAGGAGCUCCAGCUCAACCCCAAGCACUGGUUCGCAGACAGGAAGAAGCUGUACCCGCUGCCGCCGUCGGCGUACCGCUUCUCGCCGACGCUCCGCGUGGCCAAAUUCCACGGCUUUCACCUCCCGGACUUGACUGGGCAGCCGUCGCUGAAGUUCCCCGUGCCUGGAGCAUCUGACCCUGGAGAGGGUGUGUUUCUGCGAGAGCUAGUCAUCGAGGACGCCCCGUGCCUUGAGAGGUUGCUGGCACUUGAUCCAAAGGGUGGCCCAGCGACCAUACGGAUAAUAUGUGCACCUAAACUGGAGAUAUUGGGUAUGCUGUCCGAGGACAUAUCCGAGCUCCACCUUGGAAGAACAAUUUUUCAGAAAAUGAUUGCUGCUAGUUUGAAAACCAAAAUGCACAGCAUGAGGGUUUUGUUUCUCAGCUCUGCUGGCCCUAAUCUGGAUGCAGUGGUCAACUUCCUCAAGUGCUUCCCCUGCUUGGAGAAGUUGUAUGUCAUUUUUCAGUCACUGUCACGCCCAAUGGAUGUUAUUAAUAAUGCGCAGAAGUAUGACCAACUGGGCCCAAUCGAAUGCUUUCAGCUGCAUCUCAAAAAAGUGGUGUUGAAGAAUUAUGAUGGAGAAAAGCGCUCAUCUAUUAACUUUGCCGAGUUCUUUCUUCGGAAUGCGAAAGGGCGAAAGGAAAUGAAAAUCACACUGCCUUACCACCGCCAGCACAAUUGGUUUGCUGAUCUACAGAGCGUGCUACGGUAUCAACUUAGAGCUUCUCCGGAUGCUCAAAUAGAACUGAGAUGUGGUACUAGGGAUUGUUUCACACGCAACAAGCAUACCCAUGAUUUGUCAAUGGACGACCCCUUUGACAUGCCGUCCAUCGGAUGCUGGAGGUGUAAAGAGUUGGGUCUAGGAGAUACCACAUACAAGGUUUAA
rnacentral:rRNA from 1 species